CAGUCGCCGCGGUAAAACGGAGGGGGCUAGCGUUGUUCGGAAUUACUGGGCGUAAAGCGCACGUAGGCGGCUUGGUAAGUUAGAGGUGAAAGCCUGGAGCUCAACUCCAGAAUUGCUUUUAAGACUGCCGAGCUAGCAGGUGAGAGAGGUAAGUGGAAUUCCGAGUGUAGAGGUGAAAUUCGUAGAUAUUCGGAAGAACACCAGUGGCGAAGGCGGCUUACUGGCUCAUACUGGACGCUGAGGUGCGAAAGCGUGGGGAGCAAACAGGAUUAGAUACCCCCGUAGUCCCUGUCUCUUAUAC
rnacentral:rRNA from 1 species